ACAGUGCUCAUUUACAAAGGGCAGGAAAUGUUGGCUGAUAACUGAUGCUAAUUAGGUUAGUAGGAUUUCUGGACUAAAUAUAGAAGGGCUGAAGAACUAGUGCGAGGAAAACAGGACCGAAAAUAACGUCGAUAGCUGCUAAAUACAGGACAAGUGAUAGCACCAAAGUUCUACACAUCAGAGAAAAUUGUGGUGGUGUGGACUAGAUGGCGCUAUCGUUAAAGCAGUGAUGGUGAAUAUGAGAGUGCUGGACAAAUACUUAGCUGUGCCGUAUCCAGAAGAAUUGUCAAGGAUAUUCUGUAUCCAAUUUUUGAUGGAGAACUCAAAAAUAUACAAAAAAUAAGAAAUAAGACAGAAGUACACAAUGUGUAGUAAUGUCGUGAUGAACAGAUGAAAGGUUCAUCUUCACCUAGAUUACCCUCAAGAGAUUCAAUCAUACAACAUUUCCAGAUAUUUGAAAUGAAAAUCAAGAUGCCUCAAUAAAACCUGUUACAAAAUUCUAUGAUGACAUCAUGGCUAAGGGAGUGCAAUCGCGCAAAGUCCCGGAUGCGGCUCACUUAUAUGGAAUUCAAAACCUGCAAGAUCCGAUGCUUGAUAAAAACAAUAUUAUGAUGUGGUCAAAAUUGACUGGAAAUGAGUGAAAAUGAAUAGUAUUGAGGUUAAUAAAAUCGUAGGGACAAAAAAAGGCCCAAAUUCUUGGAUUUCAGCUGUUUUUAUGAUUUCAAAAAAACCAAAAAACAGAUCCAAAACAAAUACAGAUCCAAAACACAAAGUAGAUUUAGAUCCAAAGCAAGAACUCAAUAUCCCUAGUAUUGCAACCAUUGGCAUCACUAUGGGGGUGCAGAGCACUCCCGGGUGUCACCCUUGGAGGGGGUGACAGCCAAAUGCCGGCUCCUCUGCAGUAAAAGGGAGCCAGUUGCUGCAGUGUGACAUUCUCCUGCAGUGUUCAGGUCUUGUCACGGAGGAGGAGCUAAAAAUACAGUGAGAUGAGUCUUUAGGAAAAGCCCAACAUCUCCAGGAACGCUGGGCACACUUCCAGAAUGAUGCAAAUGGGGGGCUCCCCAUGAAGCCAUACCCCCAGCAUGGCCAUGACCCUGGUCAGGAGAAAUGAGGAUUUCACAUGUAACUACACCACCUUUAUGCUAGGACACCCCCCUUUUUGGAAUUGCGCUCCUCUGGUGCAUGUGGGGCUGUAUUAUCCAUACCAGGUGUCUCCAGAAGUAGUGACACCUCUGAUUGUAUCACUUUGCAUUUGUACUUAACAGGUCAUCUCUAUACUAAUUCCCUUGUCUAUGUCAUGUACUAUACGUGUCUUAACUCCUAAUUGAUUCUUCUGGAAACAGGGAUGCACCUUUAAUUUAAAAGGCCAAAUUGGUACAUGCUGUAGUGUU